rnacentral:rRNA from 1 species
ACGCUGGCGGCGUGCUCCAAUUACAUGCAUAGUCGAACGCUUUUCUUUCAUCGGGACUUGUCUCACCGAAAGAAAAGAGUGGCGAACGGGUGAGUAACACGUGGGUAACCUACCCUCGAGCGGGGGAUAACAUUUGGAAACAGGUGCUAGUACCGCAUAAUAACAGAAGAAGCAUUUCUUGUGUUUGAAAGUCGCAACUGCGACACUCGAGGAUGGACCCGCGGUGCAUUAGCUAGUUGGUGGGGUAACGGCUCACCAAGGCUGCGAUGCAUAGCCGACCUGAGAGGGUGAUCGGCCACACUGGGACUGAGACACGGCCCAGACUCCUACGGGAGGCAGCAGUAGGGAAUCUUCGGCAAUGGACGAAAGUCUGACCGAGCAACGCCGCGUGAGUGAAGAAGGUUUUCCGGAUCGUAAAACUCUGUUGUUAGACGAAGAACAAGGGUGACGAGUAGAAUGUUCACCCCUUGACGGUAUCUAACCAGAAAGCCACGGCUAACUACGUGCCAGACAGCCGCGGUAAUACGUAGGUGGCAAGCGUUG